rnacentral:rRNA from 1 species
CAAGACUUGACAUGGACUUGCACCAGCCGUAAUGGGCUGUUCCUUCGGGACAGGUUCACAGGUGCUGCAUGGCUGUCGUCAGCUCGUGUCGUGAGAUGUUGGGUUAAGUCCCGCAACGAGCGCAACCCCCAUCGUCGGUUAUCGGUGUCCGGCGAGACUGCCACGAUCAACGUGGAGGAAGGUGGGGAUGACGUCAAGUCAGCACGGCCCUUACGUCCUGGGCAACACACACGCUACAAUGGUCAGGACAAAGAGUUGCGAACUCGCGAGGGGAAGCUAAUCUCAUCAAACCUGACCUCAGUUCAGAUUGCAGGCUGCAACCCGCCUGCAUGAAGUCGGAGUUGCUAGUAACCGUAGGUCAGCACACUACGGUGAAUACGUUCCC